GGGUGAUGAGGGGCAGGCGGGCGCGGUAGUGAGGGGGGUGGAAGGGGUGUGGGGAAUCGUUGGGCGUGAGGAGAGGGUGGGCGGGUAGUUAAGGAGAUUGUGAAAGAGGUGGGCGCAACCGGGGAAGGGGAGUCGAAACUAACUAGCUAGAGGACGGCAGAGGAAGGUGGAAUUCCAAGUGUAGAGGUGAAAUUCGUAGAUAUUUGGAGGAAUACCGGUGGCGAAGGCGGCCUUCGGGACCGGUCCUGACGCUGAGACGCGAAAGCGUGGGGAGCAAACAGGAUUAGAUACCCGAUAGUC
rnacentral:rRNA from 1 species